rnacentral:rRNA from 1 species
GAUGAACGCUGGCGGCGUGCCUAAUACAUGCAAGUCGAGCGAACAGACGAGGAGCUUGCUCCUCUGACGUUAGCGGCGGACGGGUGAGUAACACGUGGAUAACCUACCUAUAAGACUGGGAUAACUUCGGGAAACCGGAGCUAAUACCGGAUAAUAUAUUGAACCGCAUGGUUCAAUAGUGAAAGACGGUUUUGCUGUCACUUAUAGAUGAUCCGCGCCGCAUUAGCUAGUUGGUAAGGUAACGGCUUACCAAGGCAACGAUGCGUAGCCGACCUGAGAGGGUGAUCGGCCACACUGGAACUGAGACACGGUCCAGACUCCUACGGGAGGCAGCAGUAGGGAAUCUUCCGCAAAGGGCGAAAGCUUGACGGAGCAACGCCGCGUGAGUGAUGAAGGUCUUCGGAUCGUAAAACUCUGUUAUUAGGGAAGAACAAAUGUGUAAGUAACUAUGCACGUCUUGACGGUACCUAAUCAGAAAGCCACGGCUAACUACGUG